rnacentral:rRNA from 1 species
AUGAAAUUAAAAUUAUUAAAUAUAAUUUUAUCAAUAAUAAAUAAACUUAAUAAUAAUAAUAAUAUUAUUAUUAAUAAUCUAUUAGAUUCAUUAAUAAAUAAGAAAUUAUUAUUAAAGAAUAUAUUAUUAGAUAUAAAUAAUAAAAAAAUAAAUAAUAUAAAAAGAAUAUUAAAUAAUAAUAAUAUAAAUAUUAAUAAUAAAUUACAACAUUUAAAUAAUAUAAAUAAUUGAAAUCUACAAAUUUAUAAUUAUAAUAAAAAUAUAGAAAUUAUAAAUACUAUAAAUGAUAAAUUAAUUAAUAAAUUAUUAUAUAAAAUAAUAACUUUAAAAUUAAAUAAUAUAAAUAUUAAUAAAAUUAUUAUAAGUAAACUUAUUAAUCAACAUAGUUUAAAUAAAUUAAAUAUUAAAUUUUAUUAUUAUAAUAAUGAUAUUAAUAAUAAUAAUAAUAAUAAUAAUAAUUAUUAUAUAAAUAUAAUAAAUAAAUUAAUAAAUAUUAUAAAUAAUAAUAUAAAUAAUAAUUUAUGUAAUAUUUUAAGUUAUUAUUAUAAUAAAAAAGUAACUAUUGAACCUAUUAAAUUAUCAUAUAUUUAUUUAAAUAGUGAUAUUUUUAGUAAAUAUAUUAGUUUAAAUGAUAUAGAUAAAUAUAAUAAUGGUAUCUUAACUAAUUAUCAACGUAUAUUAAAUAAUAUUAUGCCUAAAUUAAAUGAUCAUAAUAUUUCUAUAAAUUAUAUUAAUAAUAUUAAUAAUAUUAAUAAUAAUAAAUAUAAUAAUAUAAUUAAUUUAUUAAAUAAUAAUAAUAAUAAUAAUAAUAAUAAUAAUAUUAAUAAUAAUAAUAAUUAUAAUAAUAAUAAUAAUAAUUAUAUUGGUAAUAUUAAUAAUAUUUAUAAUAAUAUAACUAUUGAUAAUAUUCCUAUAGAUAUUUUAAUAUAUAAAUAUUUAGUUGGUUGAUCUAUUAAAUUUAAAGGUAGAUUAAGUAAUAAUAAUGGUAGAACUAGUACACUUAAUUUAUUAAAUGGUACUUUUAAUAAUAAAAAAUAUUUAUGAAGUAAUAUUAAUAAUAAUUAUAAAUUAAAUUAUAUCCCUUCUAAUCAUAAUUUAUAUAAUAAUUCUAAUAUUAAUAAAAAUGGUAAAUAUAAUAUUAAAGUUAAAUUAAACUUUAUUUAA